UACAGAGGUCCCGAGCGUUGUUCGGAUUCACUGGGCGUAAAGGGUGCGUAGGUGGCUUGACAAGUUUGAUGUGAAAGCUCAGGGCUUAACCCUGAAAUGGCAUUGAAUACUGUCGAGCUGGAGGUUUGGAGGGGGGACUGGAAUUCUUGGUGUAGCAGUGAAAUGCGUAGAUAUCAAGAGGAACACCAGUGGCGAAGGCGAGUCCCUGGACAACACCUGACACUGAGGCGCGAAAGCUAGGGGAGCAAACAGG
rnacentral:rRNA from 1 species